rnacentral:lncRNA from 12 species
GGGGGGGGGGGGGGGGGGGGGGGGGGGGGGGGGGGGGGGGGGGGGGGGGGGGGGGGGGGGGGGGGGGGGGGGGGGGGCUGGGCUGGGCUGGGCUGGGCUGGGCUGGGCUGGGCUGGGCUGGGCUGGGCUGGGCUGGGCUGGGCUGGGCUGGGCUGGACUGAACUGAACUGAGCUGUGCUGGGCAGGGCUGGGCUGGGCAGGGCUGAGCUGAGCUGAGCUGAGCUGAGCUGAGCUGAGCUGAGCUGAGCUGAGCUGAGCUGAGCUGAGCUGGGCUGGACUGAACUGAGCUGUGCUGAGCUGAUCUGGGCUGGGCUGGGCUGGGCUGGGCUGCGCUGGGCUGCUCUGCUCUCCGCUGCUCUGCUCUCCGCUGCUCUCCCCUGUUCUCCCCUCCUCUCCCCUCCCCUCACGGCCCGGCGGGAGCCGGGGCCGCCGGGGAACGCGGCUUUCUUCGCGCAGCUGCGGCCCGGGGCUCGGUGGCCGACUCGGGUCCGUCGGGCCGGGCUGAGGGGUGUGGGCCAGGAGCUUCCAGCCCCGCCCGCAGUCGCUUCCCCUGACACCACAUGUAGUGGUGCACAAUCCUGGAGCACUAGUCUGAGUUUCCAGGCUCUACAGAGACCUGAAGAGAGAUGUCCAUGGAACUGCUGUUUUAAUGUGUGUGCGCUGAAGCAAAGCUACAGAGGAGCCUGACCUGCAGCAGCAGAAAUACCUAAUUCUCUACUCAAAAUUAUGAAAUUCCCUUUACACAGGAAAAAAUAAUACCAUCUUCUUA